rnacentral:rRNA from 1 species
AUUGAACGCUGGCGGCAGGCCUAACACAUGCAAGUCGAACGAGUGGCGGACGGGUGAGUAAUGUCUGGGAAAAUGCCCGAUGGAGGGGGAUAACUACUGGAAACGGUAGCUAAUAACGCAUACCAUCGGAUGUGCCCAGAUGGGAUGAGCUAGUAGGUGGGUGAACGGCUCACCUAGGCGCCGAUCCCUAGCUGGUCUGAGAGGAUGACCGGCCACACGGGAACUGAGGCACGGUCCAGACUCCUACGCGAGGCAGCAGUGGGAAAUAUUGCACAAUGGGCGCAAGCCUGAUGCAGCCAUGCCGCGUGUAUGAAGAAGGCCUUCGGGUUGUAAAGUACUUUCAGCGGGGAGGCGUUACCCGCAGAAGAAGCACCGGCUAACUCCGUGCCAGCAGCCGCGGUAAUAC